rnacentral:rRNA from 1 species
GAUGAACGCUAGCGGCAGGCCUAAUACAUGCAAGUCGAACGGUGUAGCAAUACACAGUGGCGCACGGGUGCGUAACACGUAUGCAACCUACCUUACAUUAGGGGACAGCCUUUCGAAAGGGAGAUUGAUACCGCAUAAGACAGUAACCAGGCAUCUAGUAGCUGUUAAAGAUUUAUCGAUGUAAGCUGGGCAUGCGUCCAAUUAGUUAGUUGGCGAGGUGAUGGCUCACCAAGACGAUGAUUGGUAGGGGAACUGAGAGGUCAAUCCCCCACACUGGCACUGAGAUACGGGCCAGACUCCUACGGGAGGCAGCAGUAGGGAAUAUUGGGCAAUGGGCGCAAGCCUGACCCAGCCAUGCCGCGUGCAGGAAGAAGGCGUUAUGCGUUGUAAACUGCUUUUAUACAGGAAGAAACGACCCUUGCGAGGGGCAUUGACGGUACUGUAUGAAUAAGCACCGGCUAACUCCGUGCCAGCAGCCGCGGUAAGAC